rnacentral:rRNA from 1 species
GGCGCUUGAGAGAACUCGGGUGAAGGAACUCGGCAAAAUGGUACCGUAACUUCGGGAGAAGGUACGCCUCUGUUUGUGAACACUUCGCGUGGUAAGCAAAUGGAGGCCGCAGUGACCAGGUGGCUGGGACUGUUUAUUAAAAACACAGCACUCUGCAAACUCGUAAGAGGACGUAUAGGGUGUGACACCUGCCCGGUGCCGGAAGGUUAAUUGAUGGGGUUAGUUUUCGGACGAAGCUCUUGAUCGAAGCCCCGGUAAACGGCGGCCGUAACAAUAACGGUCCUAAGGUAGCGAAAUUCCUUGUCGGGUAAGUUCCGACCUGCACGAAUGGUGUAACCAUGGCCACGCUGUCUCCACCCGAGACUCAGUGAAA